CCACAAAUUUUCUGCCGAAAAACCAUGCACACCUUUGCCUAUAAUCUAAUCUAAUCUCCAAACCUUAUCAAAUCACUCAUCCAACAAUUCUAAUUGAAAUAACCCUCCCACUCGCUUUAUAAUUAUAAAACCCGUGACGUAACCAACCAAUGACGGAAUCGGUACAAAUAUAGAAAUCCAAAAAACCUCUCGGUUUUUCAGCAAGGUCUAGACGGUUAAAUAAACAGCGGAAACAUCUCUCUCGCUCUCAAGAACAGUCCUUCCGCCCAUCUGCCUCCAUCUCCCUUCCAGGUCGUCGGGUCUCAGGUAUGUGUCUCUAUUUUUAUUUUUUACCUGCCUCAUACUUUACCCCCCCCCCCUCCCAAUACUCCCAACCAUCACAAAACGAUUCCCAGUAUAGUUACAGCUGUGUCAGACAAAGACCUCCUUACAACCGGUUGGUGUGCACUCACACCAUCACACCAGGUAAAAUGUGAUAGAGGUAAAUUCUCAGAGUUAGUCUCGAGUCUCGCGUCGGGCUUAACGCACGUAUUUUUUAUUUAUUAUUGUUAUUUCCACAAAUUGUUUAUCUAAAAGUGGAUAUUUUUAUUUAAUGAGUGUUAUGGUCAAAAAUAAAAAUUCAAAUUAUCCCGCCGGCCAUGCGUGACAUGAAAUGGCGGCCCAUGUCCAAAUUAAAAACAAAAAAUUCUAUAAAUUAGUGAAUGUGAUGUGAAUUAUCAUUAAUUUAUUUUUUAUUUAAAUAAAACUCUUUUAUAUUUUUUUUUUAUUAAGUAUUUAAAUUAAGCCCGACGCCAUUUUGGUCGCUCGUUGAAAUCUCCGGUCUUAAAAUCGCCAUUUUCGUAACUAAUGACUUAGUCGGGGAUUUUUAAUUUAAAAAAUGGAUAAAUUACCUUUAAAAAUUGGUAUGAACCAGUGGAGUUACAUUUUUUUUUAUAUAUCGAUUUUAACGAUAAUAUUCGGAGAAAAAAGCGUGCUGGGAGCUCAAAUCCCACCUGGAUAUUCAAGCUUAUCAACAUCGACUGUUGCAGUAUACUUUGAAACUGCUGUCAGGAUCCGGAGAAUGUUGCUUAAGCGAGAUCG